UACAGAGGGGGCAAGCGUUAUUCAGAAUUAUUGGGCGUAAAGGGCGCGCAGGCGGUCGUCCAAGUCGCGUGUGAAAGCCCCCGGCUCAACUGGGGAGGGUCACGCGAUACUGGUCGACUCGAAGGCAGGAGAGGGUAGUGGAAUUCCCGGUGUAGUGGUGAAAUGCGUAGAUAUCGGGAGGAACACCAGUGGCGAAGGCGACUACCUGGCCUGUUCUUGACGCUGAGGCGCGAAAGCUAGGGGAGCAAACGGG
rnacentral:rRNA from 1 species